rnacentral:rRNA from 1 species
AAGUGGGAUGACGUCAAAUCAUCAUGCCCCUUAUGACCUGGGCUACACACGUGCUACAAUGGUUGGUACAACGAGUUGCGAGUCGGUGACGGCGAGCUAAUCUCUUAAAGCCAAUCUCAGUCCGGAUUGUAGGCUGCAACUCGCCUACAUGAAGUCGGAAUCGCUAGUAAUCGCGGAUCAGCACGCCGCGGUCGAAUACGUUCCCGGGCCUU